GUUUCUGGAACAGCCAGUGGACCAUUUGCCUUAUUAGAUAAAACCGGAAAUGCUGUAAUUAUCUCCCCUUUCAGCGAAUUCAUGUCGUCAUCGCUACAUUAUAGUGGCAGUGAAAACUCCAUAAGUUGGGGUUUACUGGGAGAGGUCGAUACAGUUCCCGCCCUAUUUUCAACUGAGUAUAUAGCAUUCUUCGGUUCCGGUGGCAUAAAUCAGGCAUAUGCUGAUUGGGGACGAUUAAUGAGAGAAUUUUAUGGCAAAACAAGUGCUUAUCGAGACAGUGAUUUUACCAUCAAUUAUCUAGGGUAUUACACUGACAAUGGAGCGUAUUAUUACUACCAGACAGAAAAUAAU